rnacentral:rRNA from 1 species
GGCUCAGGAUGAACGCUAGCUACAGGCUUAACACAUGCAAGUCGAGGGGAAACGAUAUUGGAAGCUUGCUUCUGAUAGGCGUCGACCGGCGCACGGGUGAGUAACGCGUAUCCAACCUGCCCAUCACUUGGGGAUAACCUUGCGAAAGUAAGACUAAUACCCAAUGACGUCUCUAGAAGACAUCUGAAAGAGAUUAAAGAUUUAUCGGUGAUGGAUGGGGAUGCGUCUGAUUAGCUUGUUGGCGGGGUAACGGCCCACCAAGGCGACGAUCAGUAGGGGUUCUGAGAGGAAGGUCCCCCACAUUGGAACUGAGACACGGUCCAAACUCCUACGGGAGGCAGCAGUGAGGAAUAUUGGUCAAUGGACGAGAGUCUGAACCAGCCAAGUAGCGUGCAGGAUGACGGCCCUAUGGGUUGUAAACUGCUUUUAUAAGGGAAUAAAGUGGGAGUCGUGACUCUUUUUGCACGUACCUUAUGAAUAAGGACCGGCUAAUUCCGUG